rnacentral:lncRNA from 1 species
AGUUUUAGGAAGUCAUAUCAAGACAGAAUAUUCCCAUCACCUCAGAAGCUUCCUUCAUGACCUUCCCAAUCAGCAACCCCUCUCCAAGCAAUUACUGAUCUGGUUUCCAUCACCAUAGGUAUUGUCCUCAUCCAUUUGGUUGAAGCUUGCUCACGACUCCCACAUCUUCAUUCCAGUCUGUGUGAAGGGAUAAAAAACAAGAGCCUUGGAGAAUGGGAGAGAUUCUCUGUUGGAAACCAUCCUGGGGUGUGCGGUCCAGCUAUGCCACCUAAACAAGCUUCUCCUUGGAGAGAUAAGGGCCUGAAGAUUAUGAGCAUCUGCUCCUUCUCUCUGUUGACCAAUAAUAUCCAGAUGAUAGAGUCUCCGCCAGCCUGGGUCCCUGAGUGAGAACAAUGUGGAGCAGAGCCCCUACCCUCCCACCGACCCAGAGUGGACAUGUAGCAAGAGCAAGAAAAAAGCAUUUGUUGUAGAGAC